rnacentral:rRNA from 1 species
AUUGAACGCUGGCGGCAGGCCUAACACAUGCAAGUCGAGCGAGCGGCGGACGGGUGAGUAAUGUCUGGGAAACUGCCUGAUGGAGGGGGAUAACUACUGGAAACGGUAGCUAAUACCGCAUACCAUCAGAUGUGCCCAGAUGGGAUUAUCUAGUAGGUGGGGUAACGGCUCACCUAGGCGACGAGCCCUAGCUGGUCUGAGAGGAUGACCAGGCAACCUGGAACUGAGACACGGUCCAGACUCCUACGGGAGGCAGCAGUGGGGAAUAUUGCACAAUGGGCGCAAGCCGGAUGCAGCCAUGCCGCGUGUGUGAAGAAGGCCUUCGGGUUGUAAAGCACUUUCAGCGGGGAGGCGUUACCCGCAGAAGAAGCACCGGCUAACUCUGUGACAGCCGCCGCGGUAAUUC